rnacentral:rRNA from 1 species
AGAGUUUGAUCAUGGCUCAGAUUGAACGCUGGCGGUAUGCUUAACACAUGCAAGUCGAACGGAAACGAUGGUAGCUUGCUACCAGGCGUCGAGUGGCGGACGGGUGAGUAACGCGUAGGAAUCUGCCCAGUAGUGGGGGACAACCAGGGGAAACCCUGGCUAAUACCGCAUACACCCUACGGGGAAAAGAGGGCCUCUUCUUGAAAGCUCUUGCUAUUGGAUGAGCCUGCGUGAGAUUAGCUAGUUGGUGAGGUAAAAGCUCACCAAGGCGACGAUCUCUAGCUGGUCUGAGAGGACGAUCAGCCACACUGGGACUGAGACACGGCCCAGACUCCUACGGGAGGCAGCAGUGGGGAAUAUUGGACAAUGGGCGCAAGCCUGAUCCAGCAACGCCGCGUGGAGGAUGACACAUUUCGGUGCGUAAACUCCUUUUAUAUAGGAAGAUAAUGACGGUACUAUAUGAAUAAGCGCCGGCUAACUCCGUGCCAGCAGCCGCGGUAAUACGGAGGGCGCAAGCGUUACUCGGAAUCACUGGGCGUAAAGAGCGUGUAGGCGGGUUAAUAAGUUUGAAGUGAAAUCCUAUGGCUCAACCAUAGAACUGCUUUGAAAACUGUUAGCCUAGAAUAUGGGAGAGGUAGAUGGAAUUUCUGGUGUAGGGGUAAAAUCCGUAGAGAUCAGAAGGAAUACCGAUUGCGAAGGCGAUCUACUGGAACAUUAUUGACGCUGAGACGCGAAAGCGUGGGGAGCAAACAGGAUUAGAUACCCUGGUAGUCCACGCCCUAAACGAUGCACACUAGUUGUUGCUAUGCUAGACAUAGCAGUAAUGCAGUUAACACAUUAAGUGUGCCGCCUGGGGAGUACGGUCGCAAGAUUAAAACUCAAAGGAAUAGACGGGGACCCGCACAAGCGGUGGAGCAUGUGGUUUAAUUCGACUAUACGCGAAGAACCUUACCUGGACUUGACAUAAGAAGAACUUUCCAGAGACGGAUUGGUGCUAGUUUACUAGAACUUCUAUACAGGUGCUGCACGGCUGUCGUCAGCUCGUGUCGUGAGAUGUUGGGUUAAGUCCCGCAACGAGCGCAACCCUCGUGUUUAGUUACUAACAGUUCGGCUGAGGACUCUAAACAGACUGCCUGGGUAACCAGGAGGAAGGUGAGGACGACGUCAAGUCAUCAUGGCCCUUACGGCCAGGGCUACACACGUGCUACAAUGGGGUAUACAAAGAGCCGCGAUACCGUGAGGUGGAGCAAAUCUCAUAAAAUAUCUCCCAGUUCGGAUUGAAGUCUGCAACUCGACUUCAUGAAGUUGGAAUCGCUAGUAAUCGUAGAUCAGCAAUGCUACGGUGAAUACGUUCCCGGGUCUUGUACUCACCGCCCGUCACACCAUGGGAGUUGAUUUCAUUCGAAGCGGGGAUGCUAAAAUAGCUACCUUCCACAGUGGAUUUAGUAACUAGGGUGAAGUCGUAACAAGGUAACC